rnacentral:rRNA from 1 species
AGAUUGAACGCUGGCGGCAGGCCUAACACAUGCAAGUCGAGCGGUAGAGAGGUGCUUGCACCUCUUGAGAGCGGCGGACGGGUGAGUAAUGCCUAGGAAUCUGCCUAGUGGUGGGGGAUAACGUUCGGAAACGGACGCUAAUACCGCAUACGUCCUACGGGAGAAAGCGGGGGACCUUCGGGCCUCGCGCCAUUAGAUGAGCCUAGGUCGAUUAGCUAGUUGGUG